AAGAGUUAUUAAAUAUUUUUUUUUCCCGAAAUUAAGAUCUAAUUUAUAAAUUAUAUUAGUGAGGAUUUAUUUGUUUCAAAAUUUAAAAUAUUAUAAUUUAGGUGUGAUAGGCUUAGCAAUUUUAAUAAUAUCUGGAUAAUGUUUAAAUGUAUUUAGUACAUAAUUAUUUUUGAAUUUUUAAGUUUUUAGAUUUAAAAAGUAUAAGAAUUUAUAUUUUAAAUAUUUUAUGAAAUAAUUUUCAUAUAAUUAUUUGUUAAUAUAAUUUAUAUUAAUACUUAUCUUUAAGUUUAAAUAUUAAUAUAAUAUAAUUAUUUAUUAUAUUUAUAAUGUUAAAAUUAGUAGAUUAUUUAAUAUUUAAUUAAGGAACUCGGCAAAAAUAAUAUUCAACUGUUUAUCAAAAACAUAGCUUUAUGAAAUAUAUAUUAAGUUUGACCUGCCCAAUGAUAUAAUUUAAAUGGCC
rnacentral:rRNA from 1 species